rnacentral:rRNA from 1 species
UACGUAGGGUGCAGGCGUUAAUCGGAAUUACUGGGCGUAAAGCGUGCGCAGGCGGUCUACUAAGACAGGUGUGAAAUCCCCGGGCUUAACCUGGGAACUGCGCUUGUAACUGGCAAGCUAGAGUGUGGCAGAGGGGGGUGGAAUUCCACGUGUAGCAGUGAAAUGCGUAGAGAUGUGGAGGAACACCGAUGGCGAAGGCAGCACCCUGGGCUAACACUGACGCUCAUGCACGAAAGCGUGGGGAGCAAACAGG